GCAUAUCAAUAAGCGGAGGAAAAGAAACUAACAAGGAUUCCCCUAGUAGCGGCGAGCGAAGCGGGAAGAGCUCAAAUUUAUAAUCUGGCACCUUCGGUGUCCGAGUUGUAAUCUCUAGAAGUGUUUUCCGCGUUGGACCGCACACAAGUCUGUUGGAAUACAGCGGCAUAGUGGUGAAACCCCCGUAUAUGGUGCGGACGUCCAGCGCUUUGUGAUACACUUUCAAUGAGUCGAGUUGUUUGGGAAUGCAGCUCAAAUUGGGUGGUAAAUUCCAUCUAAAGCUAAAUAUUGGCGAGAGACCGAUAGCGAACAAGUACCGUGAGGGAAAGAUGAAAAGCACUUUGGAAAGAGAGUUAACAGUACGUGAAAUUGUUGGAAGGGAAACGCUUGAAGUCAGACUUGCUUGCCGGAGCUUGCUUCGGUUUGCAGGCCAGCAUCAGUUUUCCGGGGUGGAUAAUGACGGUUUGAAGGUAGCAGUCUCGGCUGUGUUAUAGCUUUCCGUUGGAUACAUCCUGGGGGACUGAGGAACGCAGCGUGCUUUUUGCGAAAGACUCGUCUUUUUCACGCUUAGGAUGCUGGUGGAAUGGCUUUAAACGACCCGUCUUGAAACACGGACC
rnacentral:rRNA from 1 species